rnacentral:rRNA from 1 species
AAUCUGGGGUCCGCGACCUCCGAGUUGUAAUUUGGAGAGGCAUCUUCGGGGGGGGAGCGCCGGCCCAAGUUCCUUGGAACAGGACGUCGCAGAGGGUGAGAAUCCCGUGCCAGGCCGGCUGCCUCCUCCCGGGUGAAGGGCCUUCGACGAGUCGAGUUGUUUGGGAAUGCAGCUCCAAGUGGGUGGUAAAUUUCAUCUAAAGCUAAAUACCGGCGGGAGACCGAUAGCGCACAAGUAGAGUGAUCGAAAGAUGAAAAGCACUUUGAAAAUAGAGUCAAAAAGUACGUGAAAUUGUUGAAAGGGAAGCGCUUGAGACCAGACUCAGGCCCCGGCAAACACCGCGCCCCCAGGGGCCGUGCAAUUGCCGGGGGCUGGGCCAGCAUCAGUCGGCGUGGCGGGACAAAGGCGCGGGGAAUGUGGCUCCCCUCGGGGAGUGUUAUCAGGCCCGCGCUCAAUGCCGCCGACGCCGACUGAGGACCGCGCCUCGGCUAGGAUGCUGGCUUAAUGGCCUUCAGCGACCCGUCUUGAAACACGGACCAAGGAGUCUAACAUCUAUGCGAGUGUUUGGGCGCCAAACCCUUGCGCGGAAUGAAAGUGAGCGGAGGUGGGAACCCCCCAGCGGGGCGCACCAUCGACCGAUCCUGAUGUCUUCGGAUGGAUUUGAGUA